AGGUCAUUUCAAAGAGAGCUUACGGGACCAAAACCAGGAGCUCUUAACGCUGUGACCUAAGAUCAAAGUUCUCCAUAGGAUGUAAUAGACACUCUGUAGUGUUACGUUUUCCUGAGGAGAUACAAGA